GACGAACGCUGGCGGCGUGCUUAACACAUGCAAGUCGAACGGAAAGGCCCUGCUUUUGUGGGGUGCUCGAGUGGCGAACGGGUGAGUAACACGUGAGUAACCUGCCCUUGACUUUGGGAUAACUUCAGGAAACUGGGGCUAAUACCGGAUAGGAGCUCCUGCUGCAUGGUGGGGGUUGGAAAGUUUCGGCGGUUGGGGAUGGACUCGCGGCUUAUCAGCUUGUUGGUGGGGUAGUGGCUUACCAAGGCUUUGACGGGUAGCCGGCCUGAGAGGGUGACCGGCCACAAUGGGACUGAGAUACGGCCCAGACACCUACGGGAGGCAGCAGUGGGGAAUAUUGCACAAUGGGCGGAGGCCUAAUGCAGAAACGCCGAGUGCGGGAUGACGGCCUUCGGUUUGUAAACCGCUUUCGCCUGUGACGAAGAGUGAGUGACGGUAAUGAGUAAAGAAGCACCGGCUAACUACGUG
rnacentral:rRNA from 1 species